rnacentral:rRNA from 1 species
GAUGAACGCUGGCGGCGUGCCUAACACAUGCAAGUCGAACGGCGAAGCGCGUGCCUUUUUGGUGUGUGUGGAGGCGUGGCGAACGGGUGAAUAACACGAGAGUAACCUUCGCCCUUCUUCUGGAUAACCGCAUGAAAUUGUUGCUACUUCGGGAUAUUCUGUGUCUGUCGCAUGAUGUGUCGCGGAAAGCUAUUGUGUCGGUGGGUGAUGGGUUCGCGGCGUACUAGCUUGUUGGUGGGGUGAUGGCCUACCAAGGCGGUGAUGGGUAGCCGGCCUGAGCGGAUGAUGGGCCACACUGGUAGUGAGACACGGCCGAGAAUACUACGGGAGGAAGCAGUAGGGAAGAAUAGUCAAUGAGGGAAGGACGGAUGAAGCAACGACGCGGGGGUGAGGAAGGAGUUCGUCUGGUAAAGAACUUCUUUCGGGAGAGAAGCCGGUCUGCCUAGUUUGUGCGUGGGUUGACGGUACCUGAAUAAGAAGCGCCGGCUAACUACGUG